GAAACAUACAUAUAUUUAUUAAAUAUUUCCGAACAUAAUUUACGCUCAUCUUCAAAGUUACAAAGUGGAAUUGAAUCAUACUGGAUGAAUUCGGCUGUACAGCACGAUAACCCUUAGCUCCUUGAGAUAGAAGCAUUGCUGCUUGACCAAAUG